ensembl:miRNA
UCUUGUAGAUUAUAUGUAUGUGUGUAUGUGUAUAUAUAUACAUAUGUGUAUACAUAAAUACAUAUAUAUGUGUAUAUAUACAUACAUACACAUAUAUGUGUUUGUACACAUGU